AACCCAUGGUGAGGGCACCUUCUCAAUAGAUCUUUGUAUCUCUCCCAUGCAUCAUAAAGUGUUUCUAAAUCCAUCUGCACAAAAGAAGAGAUAUCAUUCCUUAAUUU
rfam:Gossypium hirsutum cultivar TM-1 chromosome 6, whole genome shotgun sequence